rnacentral:piRNA from 1 species
UGCCCCAUCUGGGAUGUGAGGAGCACCUCUGC